AAUUUCCCUUUGAUUUCUUGACUCCUGAGUUAUUGAGGAGUGCAUUAUUUAGUUUCCAAUAUUUGGGGGAAUUUUCCAUACAUUUUUCUUAUUGAUUUCAAAUUUUAAUUCCAUUGUGGUCAGAGAAUAAACUUUGCAUGACUUGAACCUUCUAAAUUUAUUGAGACUUGCUUUAUGACCAGAAUGUUAUUAUCUAUCUUAUUAAAUGUCCCACGUGUACUUGAAAAAAUUCAUAUUAUCGGGAUUAUUCUGUAAAUGUCAAUUAGGUUAAUUUAACUGUUAGUAUAAUUCAUAUUUUCUAUAUAUUUAAUGAUUUUCUGUCUACUUAUUUUUUCACUUCCUGAGAGAAGGGUAUUGAAAUCUCUAUGAUUAUGAACUUGUCUGUUUCUCCUUGCAGUUCUAUCAGGUUUUGUUUCAUGUAGUACGAAGCUCUGCUGCUAGGAGCCAAAUGUUAAGGAUUUUUUUUGUUCUCUGGAUUAAGUGACAGCUUAAUUAUUAUGAAAUGACUUAUUUAGCUUUGAUAAUAUUCUUUCCUCUGAAAUCUCCUUUUCUGAUAUUAAUAUAACCACUCUGGCCUGAGGCCAACUCCAUCAUUUCUUCCCUACAGUGGCAAAACUCAAAUGACAGACCUUCUACCUAGGGAAGUAAAUGGACUAAAAUUGAUCACAAAGUGUCUCCACCAAGAAACUGGGAGCUUGUGACAGCUGUUCAUUAAAAAGAAUUCCACCAGUGUCCUUCCAGGAAGGUAAGGACUAUUUUUCCCAAAGGCCUCAGGAGAAGGUAAAACAAUUAUGAUGCUGUCAGGGCCAGCAGUAAAACAAGGUAAUAAAAUUGUCUUGUGGGUGAGGAUGUGUGUUGAGAAGUGCUUUUUACAUAAGUAACAUAUUCCUCUGAGCCAAGCCCCUUCCUGUGUGUAUUCAUCACUUUUAGGUUGUAGUUCUUUGCAUGCAAACACCCAGCACAACCUGUAGCAUCCAUGUACCAACUUCAUCCUCCCAGUGUAGGGAGACACCCCGCCCCCCCCAUUUGAAACAAAACUAGGAUACCCAACAGAGCACGUUUGUUCAUUGAACUCUCUUGAUAGCCUGAAGGCAGUGAUUUCAGACUGGAAAGGAGAAAACGGAGGAGAGUUACGUGGACACUGAGAAAAGGAGGUAGGAUGAAAAAGUUGGGUCACUAGAAGUCCUGGAUUUCCUUAAUCCAGUUUCCAGGGAUUGAAAUGGCUCCAAUCUUGACUACAGUCCCUCAGGGGACAGGGCUACAAUCUUUUUGAGGGCUAUUCUAUUUCUACUUCACACUCACUCCUAGACCUUUGGGUCUUUAACCCCAAGCAUGAGGUGCCACCUCUUUGGUGGGCCCUGAACCCCAUGUUUUGAUCCUCUGCCACAGAAGUUAUGUGAAAAGGAGGUAGGGUGAACAAGUUCCUUGGUAACAGCCAAGAAGCGAGUGGUCCUCCGAAGUGUGUAGAGGGGUUUAUAGGAGGGAAAUGAGAUGAUCCACAGACUUAAAUAUGGCCGCUUUACCAUGGAUGCAUGGAAGGCGAGACAUUAAAAAGAACCAAAACCUUAGUAAUGGUGAAGGGUCGGAGGAAACAGAGUGUACCACGGAAUAGGGUGGUCCCAGGGAAAGGUUUGGAGGAGACACCCUUUCCCUGCCAUGUGACCCGACAGAAUGGACAUGGGGAGAUGAGGAGGGUGGCAGGUCAGUUUCGAAGCCUCUUUAGGAGUGCUAAAAACGCGCUCUUUCUCCCACCAGAGCAUUUUGCCCUUGCCAGCAUCCCCCCUCCAUGAGUGUGUGAGGGUGGUGCUUUAUGACCUCUAAGCCCCGCCCCCGCCCCCGCCCCCAGGGCUAUCAUUGGCUAGAGGAAAGCCUUGGUGACCAAACAAAGUUGAAGGGCGUGGCCCUUUACCGUCCUGGGGGAGGGGUAUAUAUAGCCCAGGAGCCGAGGCCGGCGGGAGACCAUUGGGAAGCACCAACAUGGCAAAGGUGAGCAAGAAAUCGGCAACUCCUAGCACACUUACGGAACAACUGACCUCAAGCAGCAAGCCGAGAAAGAAGAGGCAGGCCGCCUGUCAGCUCCAGUCCAGAGGCAGUAACAAGGUGGCCCAGAAAACCGCGAGGGUAAAAAGACCCCUCCAAGGGAGUUCGAGAAGAAAAACCUCUCCAAAACCCGCCACUCCGUCCACUAAGCCCAAGAAAGCUAGAGGACUAACACUGUUUGGCCACUAUCACAGGCUGAAUGAGACAAUGAAUCAAAAUCAAGAGCCAGCGCAGGACCAGGAGAACAUGGACAAGCCCACCACUUCAAGUGACAACCGUGGCAGACAGAAUUUCCGAGCAAUGCCAGAGACCUCAGGAACACCUGGGAAGUCCUCAAGGUCUAAACGCUAAGGAAUGGCCAGCCACUCAGAGGCCAAACCAUGCACCAACAGGGUAUACCCAUGGUGGUGAAUAAAAUAAACACCUGUUGUGAAAAG
ensembl:lncRNA uncharacterized LOC100154249